CUUUAUGGUGGUCGUGCGCAGGGCACCUUCGGGUGCGCCGGUUCCCUAGUUUCCGGUCGACUAACCUGCGCGCGGCCGCCACCCAU
rfam:Pseudomonas batumici strain TCM B-321 Contig_41, whole genome shotgun sequence.